GACGAACGCUGGCGGCGUGCUUAACACAUGCAAGUCGAACGGAAAGGCCCUGCUUUUGUGGGGUGCUCGAGUGGCGAACGGGUGAGUAACACGUGAGUAACCUGCCCUUGACUUUGGGAUAACUUCAGGAAACUGGGGCUAAUACCGGAUAGGAGCUCCUGCUGCUUGGUGGGGGUUGGUAAGUUUCGGUGGUUGGGGAUGGACUGGCGGCUUAUCAGCUUGUUGGUGGGGUAGUGGCUUACCAAGGCUUUGACGGGUAGCCGGCCUGAGAGGGUGACCGGCCACAUUGGGACUGAGAUACGACCCAGACUCCUACGGGAGGCAACAGUGGGGAAGAGUGCACAAUGGGAGGAAGCAAGAUGCAGCAAAGCCGCGUGCGGGAUGACGGCCUUCGGGUUGUAAACCGAUUUCGCCUGUGACGAAGCGUGAGUGACGGUAAUGGGUAAAGAAGCACCGGCUAACUACGUG
rnacentral:rRNA from 1 species